AAAUGUGGCCAUGACUGCAGUGAUGACAGCUCCUCUGGUAUUGGUGACAUGGUAUCUAUCAGCCCUUUGAGAAACUCAAGGUAAUCUGGGUACUUCUGCCACGGCUUCAGUCACGGGAUCGCCUCACUCUGAAAUUUUCAAUGGCUCCCUAGGACCUACUGUCUUUUACAUCCUGGGCCCAGCAAUCAACGCUCAUUCUGAUAAUUGAGUCAUUCCUUCAGCCCCUGCUCCAUCAUUCCACCAAAGAUUGCAGAUGUUUUUAGGAAUAUAUAGGCAAGGCAACAAAAAUAAGACUCUGGGCUAAGGAAAAUAAGAAUUAGGAUAGAUAAAGUGAUGAAAAUGUUCUCCAGUUGGACUGAUGGUUACACAACUCCGUGCGUAGAAGUACAACUUUAACUGGGCGAAUUUAUUGGUAUGUGAAUUGUAUCUCCA